AGAGAGAGAGAGAGAGAGAGAGAGAGAGAGAGUUCAGUAUCUGCGGGGUAGACUGUGGUAUUAUCAAGUUAACCCGUCCGCUGCGAUUGAAACGAAUUUGGCUUUGGGUAGACUAGGUUAGGUUAGGUUAGGUUAGGUAAGCUAGGUUAGGUUAGGUUAGGUAAGCUUGGUUAGGUUAGGUAAGCUUGGUUAGGUUAGGUAAGCUUGGUUAGGUUAGGUAAGCUUGGUUAGGUUAGGUAAGCUUGGUUAGGUUAGGUAAGCUUGGUUAGGUUAGGUAAGCUUGGUUAGGUUAGGUAAGCUUGGUUAGGUUAGGAUAGCUUGGUUAGGUUAGGUAAGCUUGGUUAGGUUAGGUAAGCUUGGUUAGGUUAGGAUAGCUUGGUUAGGUUAGGUAAGCUAGGUUAGGUUAGGUAAGCUUGGUUAGGUUAGGUAAGCUUGGUUAGGUUAGGUAAGCUUGGUUAGGUUAGGUAAGCUUGGUUAGGUUAAGAGAAGGGGAAAUUUAGUAGGCUAGGUUAACCCAUCCACUGCGAUUGUCACGGAUUUGGCUUUAGGUAGACUAGGUUAGGUUAGGUUAGGUUAGGUAAGCUUGGUUAGGUUAGGUAAGCUUGGUUAGGUUAAGAGAAGGGGAAAUUUAGUAGGCUAGGUUAACCCAUCCACUGCGAUUGUCACGGAUUUGGCUUUAGGUAGACUAGGUUAGGUUAGAUAAGCUUGGUUAGGUUAAGAGAAAUGUCUUUUGAUUCUUUUUAGGAGCAGCGAGAAGCGGACUUUUAUUUUUUAUUAUAGUUUCCUUUUUUGUGCCCUUGAGCUGUCUCCUUUGUUGUAAAAGAGAGAGAGAGAGAGAGAGAGAGAGAGCAGGAUCAAGCCUUGUACUGAGAAGGGUUGAAUCCCA